rnacentral:misc_RNA from 1 species
AACCCAAUGGACCCAUAACGGGUGUCCGUGUUGGGCCUCGCCCCCGGUUCGUGGGCGUCGCCUCGAAGGAAUCGGUCGAGGGCGGACGGAUGAGAUCCAUUAGGACCGACCGUCUGACCCGACCCACAAAGCUAUGA